GACGUAGGGCGCGAGCGUUGUCCGGAUUUAUUGGGCGUAAAGAGCUCGUAGGCGGCUUGUCGCGUCGGGAGUGAAAACCUUGGGCUUAACUCAGGGCUUGCUUUCGAUACGGGCAGACUAGAGGUAUGCAGGGGAGAACGGAAUUCCUGGUGUAGCGGUGAAAUGCGCAGAUAUCAGGAGGAACACCGGUGGCGAAGGCGGUUCUCUGGGCAUGAUCUGACGCUGAGGAGCGAAAGUGUGGGGAGCGAACAGG
rnacentral:rRNA from 1 species